GGAAUUUUCCGCAAUGGGCGAAAGCCUGACGGAGCAAUACCGCGUGAGGGAUGACGGCCUGUGGGUUGUAAACCUCUUUUCUCAAGGAAGAAGCUCUGACGGUAUCUGAGGAAUAAGCAUCGGCUAAUUCCGUGCCAGCAGCCGCGGUAAUACGGGAGUGGCAAGCGUUAUCCGGAAUUAUUGGGCGUAAAGCGUCCGCAGGCGGCCCUUCAAGUCUGCUGUUAAAAAGUGGAGCUUAACUCCAUCAUGGCAGUGGAAACUGUUGGGCUUGAGUGUGGUAGGGGCAGAGGGAAUUCCCGGUGUAGCGGUGAAAUGCGUAGAUAUCGGGAAGAACACCAGUGGCGAAGGCGCUCUGCUGGGCCAUCACUGACGCUCAUGGACGAAAGCCAGGGGGAGCGAAAGGGGAUUUAGAUACCCCAGUAGUC
rnacentral:rRNA from 1 species